rnacentral:lncRNA from 1 species
AUAGCAGUCAUCACUGCUGUGGCUUGGGUUUGAUCCCUGGCCCAGGAACCUCUGCCUGCCAAGAACAAAAGGAGAAAAAAAAAAAGAGCCACAGGGGCAGCUCUAAAAAGAAAACAAAAACAAAAAACCCCCAACAAAACAAACAAAAAAGAAUUCAGGCAGAUAGACUGAGUCCUCGGCAAACCUGGGCCUCCUACCAACACUGGCGCAGGCGCGUGCUCAUUUGAACUAAGGGAGAGGCUUUAACAGUCUUGAUUAAACGAGCUCCGCUAAAAGUUCUUUUAGGAGGAACAGCUCAGGCUCGGGGAAAUGGAGCGCUGUAUCGAGCUUCCCCCAGCAGUCCUUGUCGAAGCCCUGAAGUGCAGGCUUGUGUGCGCCGCAGGUGACCACUCUGCACGCGCUUCCCCCCAUCUGGUUUCCCGCCACUCAGCAAGGAUCUUCCAGGAGGGGCAGGAUAAUGAGGAUUCUCGAUAACCAGCAGUUAAUAUUUUAAUAAUCAGAACUAGGAGUUUCCACUGUGGCUCAGCUGGUUAAGGACCUGACAUAGUCUCUGUGAGGAUGCAGGUCUGAUCCCUGGCUUAGCUCAGGGGGUUGAGGAUCCAAAGGAUCCCAUGUUGCCACAAGUGGAGGCACAAGCUGUGGCGAAGGUCCAGACGUGGCUCAGAUCCGGG